rnacentral:rRNA from 1 species
GUGGGGAAUCUUCCGCAAUGGACGAAAGUCUGACGGAGCAACGCCGCGUGAACGAUGACUGCCUUCGGGUUGUAAAGUUCUGUUAUACGGGACGAAUGGUACGACGGUCAAUACCCGUCGUAAGUGACGGUACCGUAAGAGAAAGCCACGGCUAACUACGUGCCAGCAGCCGCGGUAAUACGUAGGUGGCAAGCGUUGUCCGGAAUUAUUGGGCGUAAAGGGCGCGCAGGCGGCGUCGUAAGUCGGUCUUAAAAGUGCGGGGCUUAACCCCGUGAGGGGACCGAAACUGCGAUGCUAGAGUAUCGGAGAGGAAAGCGGAAUUCCUAGUGUAGCGGUGAAAUGCGUAGAUAUUAGGAGGAACACCAGUGGCGAAAGCGGCUUUCUGGACGACAACUGACGCUGAGGCGCGAAAGCCAGGGGAGCAAACGGGAUUAGAAACCCUUGUAGUCC